rnacentral:lncRNA from 10 species
GUCUUUUUCUUUCCCGGUGCAUAACUGGACAAAAUUGAAUGUCACCAUGGCCUUACUUGGAAGAUCAUAUGUGAGGAUGAUGGUCAUUUAACAGGUGGCAGCAAUGUGGGUAGAGGAAGACUCAACUCCUUCCUACAACACAGGGCAGAAAUUAAUACUUAUAAAGGUAAACUUGACUUAAAAAAGAAAAUAUUAUGGUGAAUCUACUCUGAUUAUGAAGAAUGGAGAAAUGUGGUAUAUGUUUCAGACCAGAUAGAUUUCUAUCAGAAGUAUUUUUAAAAAUAUUUACGUUAGGGUGCUUAAAUAUAUAACCUUCUAUGAUCUAGAACACUGACAAAUAUGUAUAACCCUUCUCCAGCAAUCCUGAAUAGUGUAUAUAGUACACAACUGCCCCAUUUUAGUAUUGCAUUGCAAAAGAACAAACACAACAUUUUUAAAUACUUUUAGUUCACAUUUUUUAAUGUUUAAAAACUAUGUUAACAGAGCAGUUAUAGAACAGAACUUCUUAUAUUUCUUUAUUUACACCACACUCUGAAAAAAAAAACCCAGUUCUAUUUGAUUAACUAUGAAUAGCAAAGUUUUGUGACUUGUGACUCACUUAAAUCACCCAUCUGAAAUUCAUUUACAAGGUUUUUACAUUAAUAAAACAGUAGUGUGGUACAUGUAUUGGACUCAGAUGAAGUCUAAAGUACACUGGACUCUAGAGAGUGGAUUACAUACCAACGACCAAGAUUCAAGUGUUUGGGGAAAAAAAUACCUUAGACAGUCUAUGUUGGCGUCAACACUAAAAUAAAAGGCAAACAUGACAAGGAUUUGUGUCUAAAUAUUCCUUACUUGUAUCUCAGAGGACUAUCUGUUAAAUAAUUGAUCUUAAUGCCAGCAUAAGAAAUCAAGGGAACUAUUUCUCAGACAUUUCUUUCUCUAAAUUAAGUAGGGUUUCAGGUUCCAAGUUUACAUUGAGAGAACUAUGUUACCUGGGAGAGAAUGUAAAUUUUUCUAAUUCCCAAACAAAACCACUAAUUUCUAGGAAACAUUUAUUGUUUAUAUGCAGAUCCUAGAGACUUCUAUUUCAGUGCAGAUCAACAACUUCAAAAAUAUACAGCCUCCUAUUUAUUUACAAUAAUAUUUACAUACAAAUGAAGUAUUUCCUGCAAUAAGCCUCAGCUGCAUAGAUUCUUCCUUUAAAAACGUAAAUUUGAGCCUGUAUACAGAUGGGCCCAGUUUCAUAGCCCUUCCUUAGAUAAAAGCCUAAAGAAGGAAAAUGUCUGCACCUUGUGAACUUUACAUAUUUUGCAAGAACUUUCUCUUUGAGAUUUAGUGAUAGUUUUUAGUUGUUAGACACCCCACCUUCAGCUUGUACCUGAAAGCUUUAUCUCGUUAUAAAUAAUUCACUGUAAUUUAGGGGAAGUAUGUCCUGUUGCUAAAGGAUUCUCAAACCUGCCAUCCCCAAGGAAAAUCAUGUAUUAGUAUUGCUAAAUGAUGGUCUGUAUAUUCUUUGUUUUGAAGGUGGCUAGAUGUUUGCUGUAAACUUGAAUGGGAGAAUUAUAUUCUUAAAGUUUACACCCCCUAUAAGCCUAAAGCCAUUUAAAUUGAUAAACUGAGAGAGACUAAUAGAUUUUGCUCUAAGGUAUAAAAUCCAUUAUCUGAUCAUAUUCCUGACCUCCCCCCGACUCCAACUAAAUGUGCCAUAGUCCAACACUGUGCCUCACUGAAUUGGAACUCAGUAUUUCAUUCUUUUGAGAGCAGUUUGUAGCUCCUUAAGCAGAGCAGACCUUUCAGUAGAGAAUUCGCUUUAAAAGGAGGACAGGAUUAUCACCACACGAUUAACACAAACACUGGAGAACUUCUGACACAAAUUCAGUAUUUCUUCUAAGUCUGCAUUUACAAAGGGUCCCCGAUGAUGCUGAUGCUACUGGUCUAGGGGCCACACUUUGAGAACCACUGGCUUAGAGGCAUGAAUCAAGCUCUAGAAAGCAGUCAGUUCCAGGGUAAUAGUCUUAGGUGCUCGCCGAAGCACUGAGGAAUCUUACCACAACCCUGUGUCCACCACAAGCCCUAUCACCAUCACCCAUCUGGGUGCUUCUUUUUCUCAACAGGGUCUGUAACUGUAAAAAAGGAAAGUGGGUGGAGAGGUUUUUUUUUCCCCCUUUUUUCUUGUUUUCUAACCUCCCAGCUUAUUCCUGGAGAGUUAAAACACAGUUACUAGCACUAAAAACAUUAAAAGUGCUGCGCGCUGGCCUCAAUGACUGGUACAUUGGAGAAGCUAUGCAGCAGCAUCCUUUUCUGUGGUGGGCAGGGCAGGAGAUGAACCAUAGGAGCCAAAAGUCAGACAAACAGAAGAAGGCACACCAAGCCUGAACCCUCCGGACAACAGCAGAGUUACCAGCUGAGGGAUGUCCCUGGAGGUUUCUGACCCAUGAGAGGCCCCCUCACCCUCCUUCACCCUCCUCCUACCACCAAGCUCUCCAGCAGUCAUGGACUUAUUCCUCCCCGUUUUUACUGGACACCAUGUUUCAGGCCAAUCUGGUCACCUGUAGUCUGGUGGCAUCUCUACCCCUACUGUCCAGUAGGUGGGAUGUGGCUGGGAUGGACAGUCCAGAUUCUACUAACAGGCAACUCUGAACAAACACCCUCCCUGGAAACAAUAUUAUAUUUGAUGGUUAGAUUCUUUAGCAAACCUAUUACAUUAUUCGAUGUCAGCUAACCUAUUGGUUUGAUCAUCUUUUCCAGCUGCUCUAGGGGCCUAACCACCAUGGAUAACCUGGUCUCUAAAGGAAAAUACAUUCCAGGUUGCAAACAACCAACUGACAACCUUUUGGAAUAUGAUCUCCUUAUACACUGGGGCUGCCUGUGCCUAAACACAGUAGAUUUCCCUCCUGUGCGUAUUUCAUCAGCCCCACUUCCAAUAAGUAACAUUAAGUAAAUUAGGGAUUGACAGUAUUCUGUGUUACAAUAACUAGAGAACAGUUCUAAGUCCAAAGUGUGGAACUGGCACUGUUCACUAGUAUAGAGAUCCUACCUACCAAAGGAAAACGUGCUGCUCCCCAUGCCUAGGGUAUAGUAUUCUUUAAUCUACUAAUUUAGCAGAAAAACUUCCAUAGCACUUGACUGUGCUGUUUAAAUUCGACCUAACAUCUGUGAUACAUGUAUUUUUGGCUACCAAUUAACUAUUCUGAAUAAGAAUAAGAGCAGUAUACUUUACAGCUAAUCUCACACAAAGGAUGUAACUAAUCAGUGAUAUUUGACGAAUUAUGGUAGGGUCUAUUAUAUUCAGUCAACAACAAAUUUAGAGAAACAUACAAAGGUUUUUAAAAAUAUGGGUGGUGUCACACAGAUCAACAACACUGUGCCUCCUCUAAAUAAAUCUAUUUUAAAUAAAUAUUCCUUGUAUUGACACAUGAAACCCAGAGGCCCAAAAAUAUCACUACACAUCCCAGUUAAUGAUAAGGUUCUAAAUUGACUUUGUGAGGGUAAAAUGAAUUGCUAUAAAGUAACAAGGAAAAUAGAAAGUAGCAUAAUAUAGCUUGCAAACUAAAUUAUGUAUUUUUAAAGGUACAGUCAUCCCACUACCUGGCUAUUUCAUUACUUGGUGCUCUAGACAAGCUCCCAAGAACUGACUGGAUCUUGGCUUGUUCUGUUUCUGUCAUUGCUAAUAUAAUAUGGAAAACAUUGCUGAAAAGAACAGAGAUGGCCAUGGAUAUGGCUAGGUUAGGUAUUCAUAUCCAAAUAUCUGAACUCUAACCUAAUGUGGAUAUGAUUCUGUAGCAUUAUAUUAAAAGCUAUGAUGAUGCAAUGCAGGAAAUAACCUUUCAUUCUCCCCCCUAGAGGAUCACGACAGGUGCUUCAAUGCCUGCCUUAUCUAUGGGACAGUAGUGUGAUUCUCAGUGAGAGUGAAGGCCUUUGGGGAUUUGAGUCAGGAAGGGAACAUGGCUAAGUGCCUGGAAACUCUGCCAACAGUCUGCGGUUAGAUUCUACUUGUCUCUGGAUAAGAAAUCUGUGCUCAGUGAACUUAUGUGUUUGGAAAAUUUAACCAGAAUAUAGAGGAAGCAUAAGUCCUGUUUCAAGAGACCAGCUCACGGAGCAUGCACAUUUCUCACCAUAGGCAAGCUAUGGACAAUUCAAUCACAUGGGAUGGCCCCACUUAGGGGAAUGCAGUUCUGGGUUUCCUUGCUAUCCCUAUUCUUUUUCAGCUACAAACUCUCUUCUUUUUCAGUCUCUUCAGUUUCCUUGUGCUCCCUUUAGGAGAGGGACAAGGGUAAGAGUACCAGGCAACUCUGUCCUCCUGCAUGGACAGUUGAGACGGGCAGUAAUGGCACAGUCCUUGGUUGGGGAAGAGAAGAGGAGACAGCACAGACACUGAGACCCCCUUGUCUUCCUCAUCUGGGGGAAGGAAGGUACUCAGUGAUUCUGUCAGAAGCUCUUCACAAAGACUAUCUCUGAGGGUUUUUUUUUUUUUUUUUUCACAAGACUAGAUGGAGAAUUAAUGAAGAAGAAAUAGAAAUGAGGCUUAUUUAAGGUACAAAAUUCUUGUAUUUGUAAUAACCUAGAUUUAUAGAUAUAAAACAAGUCUUUUAAAGACUUCCCUAAAAUACUCAAUAUAAAACAGGAGUUACUUAUCCU